rnacentral:rRNA from 1 species
UACAGAGACUGCAAGCGUUAAUCGGAAUUACUGGGCGUAAAGCGUGCGCAGGCGGUGAUGUAAGACAGGUGUGAAAUCCCCGGGCUUAACCUGGGAACUGCAUUUGUGACUGCAUCGCUGGAGUGCGGCAGAGGGGGAUGGAAUUCCGCGUGUAGCAGUGAAAUGCGUAGAUAUGCGGAGGAACACCGAUGGCGAAGGCAAUCCCCUGGGCCUGCACUGACGCUCAUGCACGAAAGCGUGGGGAGCAAACAGG